AGGGGAUUGGUGUAACGGUAGCACGAAUGGUUCUGGUCCAUUUAGUCGGGGUUCGAAUCCCUGAUCCCCUG
rnacentral:tRNA from 1 species